UACGGGGGGAGCAAGCGUUGUUCGGAUUUACUGGGCGUAAAGGGCGCGUAGGCGGUCGUGCCAAGUCACUUGUGAAAUCUCCGGGCUUAACUCGGAACGGUCAAGUGAUACUGUCGGACUAGAGUACAGAAGGGGCAACUGGAAUUCUCGGUGUAGCGGUGAAAUGCGUAGAUAUCGAGAGGAACACCAAUGGCGAAGGCAGCUCUCUGGUACGUGACUGACGCUGAGACGCGAAAGCGUGGGGAGCGAACAGG
rnacentral:rRNA from 1 species